rnacentral:misc_RNA from 1 species
GAACUCUGCCUUGGAGAUAGUCCUUCCUCAGAAACAUCAGUAAAUAGAUCAAUACUUUUAGACAAUGCAUACACAAUUUCAAUCAUCCCUGGCCUUUUUGAUGGAUCUUUAUUCAAACAUGAAAUAGCCACAGACAUCACAUUCACAACACUCUCCAUUAUUAGUUCUUCCCUUAAAAGACUUCCAUCCAUCCAUUCUUGCAAUUUCCUUACCUUCCUCUCUUCACUCCCUUCCGAAAAAUCGCCAAUGUUAGCCCACAAGACUUUUCCUUCAUCAUCUAUAGCUUCCUUCCCUGACACUAGCUCGAGUAACACAACUCCGAAUGAGAAAACAUCCAUCUUAGUGGAUACAAUCCCAUCGGUUAGGUACUCAGGGGCGAUGUACCCCUGAGUACCUACAAUGUGCAUUGUUAUAGCAUUGCACCCUGAU